rnacentral:rRNA from 1 species
UGGUGGAGUGAUUUGUCUGGUUAAUUUCGUUAACGAACGAGACCCCUGCCUGCUAAAUAGCUUACCGAGUGAAUGUUCACUGGGUGAAGCUUCUUAGAGGGACGUGCAUUCUAUUAGAUGCAGGAAGAUAGGGGCAAUAACA